rnacentral:misc_RNA from 1 species
UGGCUCUCGCAUCGAUGAAGAACGCAGCAAAGCGCGAAAUGUAAUGUGAAUUGCAGAAUUCAGUGAAUCAUCGAAUCUUUGAACGCACCUUGCGCUCUCGGGUCUUCCUGGGAGCAUGCUUGUUUGAGUGUCGCUACCUUCUCAACCCCGCGCCUUUCUCUGAAAGGGGCAGGCCCGCGCAGCCCCUCAGGGGUAGCAACGGCGAAAGGGCUUUGGAUCAUGACGCCUUGUCGCUCUGGCCUUAAGGGUUCCCCCUGGUCGAAUGACUGCGUUCAAAUGCAAGAAGCCGAAUCCUCAACCUGGCGGCUUGACCUGUUGUCAUAAGUCUACACUUUCAAUGGGGACGCUGGUUGGAAUGGGCUUACCACAAACGCAUCGCAUGGUGCACUUUUGACACUUUGACCUCAAAUCAAGUAGGACUACCCGCUGA